GAACGCCCCGCAAGGGGAGUGGCAGACGGGUGAGUAACGCGUGGGAACAUACCCUUUCCUGCGGAAUAGCUCCGGGAAACUGGAAUUAAUACCGCAUACGCCCUACGGGGGAAAGAUUUAUCGGGGAAGGAUUGGCCCGCGUUGGAUUAGCUAGUUGGUGGGGUAAAGGCCUACCAAGGCGACGAUCCAUAGCUGGUCUGAGAGGAUGAUCAGCCACAUUGGGACUGAGACACGGCCCAAACUCCUACGGGAGGCAGCAGUGGGGAAUAUUGGACAAUGGGCGCAAGCCUGAUCCAGCCAUGCCGCGUGAGUGAUGAAGGCCUUAGGGUUGUAAAGCUCUUUCACCGGAGAAGAUAAUGACGGUAUCCGGAGAAGAAGCCCCGGCUAACUUCGUGCCAGCAGCCGCGGUAAUACGAAGGGGGCUAGCGUUGUUCGGAAUUACUGGGCGUAAAGCGCACGUAGGCGGAUAUUUAAGUCAGGGGUGAAAUCCCAGAGCUCAACUCUGGAACUGCCUUUGAUACUGGGUAUCUUGAGUAUGGAAGAGGUAAGUGGAAUUCCGAGUGUAGAGGUGAAAUUCGUAGAUAUUCGGAGGAACACCAGUGGCGAAGGCGGCUUACUGGUCCAUUACUGACGCU
rnacentral:rRNA from 1 species